rnacentral:rRNA from 1 species
UACGGAGGGUGCAAGCGUUAAUCGGAAUUACUGGGCGUAAAGCGUGCGCAGGCGGUUUGUUAAGUCCGUUGUGAAAGCCCCGAGCUCAACUUGGGAAUUGCAGUGGAUACUGGCAGGCUGGAGUACGGUAGAGGAAGGUGGAAUUCCCGGUGUAGCAGUGAAAUGCGUAGAUAUCGGGAGGAACACCAGUGGCGAAGGCGGCCUUCUGGACCAGUACUGACGCUCAUGCACGAAAGCGUGAGGAGCAAACAGG